rnacentral:rRNA from 1 species
UACGUAGGGUGCGAGCGUUAAUCGGAAUUACUGGGCGUAAAGCGUGCGCAGGCGGUUCGUUGUGUCCGUCGUGAAAGCCCCGGGCUUAACCUGGGAACUGCGAUGGAAACUAGCGAGCUGGAGUGUGGCAGAGGGGGGUGGAAUUCCGCGUGUAGCAGUGAAAUGCGUAGAGAUGCGGAGGAACACCGAUGGCGAAGGCAGCCCCCUGGGCUAACACUGACGCUCAGGCACGAAAGCGUGGGGAGCAAAAGGG